CGGGAAAGCAAACAGCAACAUUGGGCACUACAGGAAACGAUUCUUGUAGAUGCUCCAAGUACCAAUUCCAUUGAGAGAAGAAGCCAAGACGGCAAGCCAUAUACACACUAGUUUAAAUGUAUUUCUUAUAUGGGUUUGUCUAGUGUGUGCCCAUGGGCACAUGCUAAGCACUAACAUUUAUAAAAUUGGAGGGUUUUGAUUGGUGUGGUUGGUGUAAUUGCAGGGGGUCCACCAUUAUCAAAGAGGAUGAGCCAAUAGAAACCCUCCAAACUCAUAAAUUUUGGUGCUUAGUGUGUGCCCAUGGGCACACCAUAGAAAAACCGUUCUUAUAUUGAGCAAACAAUCGUCAGUUAUCCAUGCAAUAGUCGAAAACAACCCCAAAGCAUAUGAAAACCAGGCAAGGUACUACAAAAACACUUAACAGAAAGAUGAUAAAAGCAAAGAUAAUCCAGCCACAAUU
rnacentral:lncRNA from 1 species